GAAGCUGACCAGACAGUCGCCGCUUCGUCGUCGUCCUCUUCGGGGGAGACGGGCGGAGGGGAGGAAAGUCCGGGCUCCAUAGGGCAGGGUGCCAGGUAACGCCUGGGGGGGAAACCCACGACCAGUGCAACAGAGAGCAAACCGCCGAUGGCCCGCGCAAGCGGGAUCAGGUAAGGGUGAAAGGGUGCGGUAAGAGCGCACCGCGCGGCUGGUAACAGUCCGUGGCACGGUAAACUCCACCCGGAGCAAGGCCAAAUAGGGGUUCAUAAGGUACGGCCCGUACUGAA
rnacentral:RNase_P_RNA from 1 species